UCGAGGAUCUUCCGCAAUGGGCGAAAGCCUGACGGAGCAAUGCCGCGUGCGGGAUGAAGGCCCUCGGGUCGUAAACCGCUGUCACCGGGGACGAACCAAUGACGGUACUCGGAGAGGAAGCCACGGCUAACUACGUGCCAGCAGCCGCGGUAAUACGUAGGUGGCGAGCGUUGUUCGGAAUUACUGGGCGUAAAGGGUUCGUAGGGGGCUUGGAAAGUCUGGCGUGAAAUCCGGCGGCUAAACCGCCGAACUGCGCUGGAAACUUCCAGGCUUGAGCGUCGGAGAGGAUGGCGGAAUUCCUGGUGUAGCGGUGGAAUGCGUGGAUAUCAGGAAGAACACCGAAGGCGAAGGCAGCCAUCUGGACGACCGCUGACCCUGAGGAACGAAAGCGUGGGUAGCAAACAGG
rnacentral:rRNA from 1 species